rnacentral:rRNA from 1 species
GAUGAACGCUGGCGGCGUGCCUAAUACAUGCAAGUCGAGCGAACAGACGAGGAGCUUGCUCCUCUGACGUUAGCGGCGGACGGGUGAGUAACACGUGGAUAACCUACCUAUAAGACUGGGAUAACUUCGGGAAACCGGAGCUAAUACCGGAUAAUAUAUUGAACCGCAUGGUUCAAUAGUGAAAGACGGUUUUGCUGUCACUUAUAGAUGGAUCCGCGCCGCAUUAGCUAGUUGGUAAGGUAACGGCUUACCAAGGCAACGAUGCGUAGCCGGCCUGAGAGGGUGAUCGGCCACACUGGAACUGAGACACGGUCCAGACUCCUACGGGAGGCAGCAGUAGGGAAUCUUGCGCAAUGGGCGAAAGCCUGACGGAGCAACGCCGCGUGAGUGAUGAAGGUCUUCGGAUCGUAAAACUCUGUUAUUAGGGAAGAACAAAUGUGUAAGUAACUAUGCACGUCUUGACGGUACCUAAUCAGAAAGCCACGGCUAACUACGUG